AGCGCUCGCGUUGCAGCUCUUUGGUGACGGUCAGCAGAGGAGAAGGUAUUCAGAUCCGUUACUGAGGUCACCCAGGGAGAAGCACGGCCUGCUUUCAGCUUUGUGACCACGCGUUUUCCAGCUGAAGAGGCUUUUUUGAGGCGCUUUGUUUGGCUGGAAAAGUGAACACUUCAUCACUCGGUUUAUCUCUCAACAUCAACAUCUGGAGCAGCGUGUUUUUAUCUGGACUGAUGGAAGACUUUCAUCUGAGGAGUCACGCAGACGCAUGAGUGGAAAAAAGUGUGGAGCUGGAGCUCGUGCUUCAAGGGUUUCCCCGGGACGGCGCUGUCCUAAUGAUUUAGACGGCUCUCUGCCCUCGUCUCCCUCCUUCAGCAGAGCGGGAGGACUCGCCGAGAAGCGACGCCGCCGACGCCGGGGGAAAGUGAACAGCGUUCAUGCUUAAUCCCCCACAAAGGUCAACAAGGUUCAACGUGCCGGCGAAUAAAAAAGUAGAACGCAAGACUUCAAGGUCGUAGUUAAGUGCAGACGGUGGAACAAGGAUUCAGAUAUUUUAAUCAGAAGGGCUAAAUUCCAACCGCAGGGCAUAUCUUUUAGUUCUCUAAACAGCACUGAUCAGUGUCGCGGAGCCAGUUGGUCCCGUCGAGGGAUCAAUUAAGUUGUGG
ensembl:lncRNA